rnacentral:tRNA from 1 species
AUUAAGGUGGCAGAGAUGGUAAUUGCAUAAAACUUAAGCCUUUACUACCAGAGGUUCAAAUCCUCUCCUUAAUA